GGCCAUCCCACCCUGACUGGGAGAGCUGCUGCCCGACUCCAAAUCCCCGCACCGGCUCUGACAUGAAGCUGCAUAUAAGGCAGCUUCUCACUGUCCUUCCAUUUCUUCUUUUACCUCAUUUGGUUAAACCACACAAGCUCAGUGCUCGGAACUUCCGUUUUCUUAUCUUGAACAUCAUGUACUGUUCCAGCUCCAGUCAGCCACCCACAAGGAAGCGUUCUGUUCCUUUUCGACAGAGGGCCUGGCCGGCCACAUGGCCACGCUGUUGAAAAGCUCUGCUCCAUCACACGGGGCGAGCCCACUAGCUUUUCUAAGAUGCCCACCCUUCACCGUGCCCUUCCACGCCUGAUGGCCUGCCCUUCUUCACAAAGGCCCGUUCUAAUUUCACCAACGGUCAGCUCUGCUUGCCACAGUCCUGUCAAAGCAGACAAAUUAAACAUGUCAGGCAAUCCGGAUUAAUUGAUACAAUAAAGGUCUGGAAGCCCUAAAAUGUUGGUUUAAUUCCCAACUCUGACACAAAAGAAGCUAAACGACUUGCAAGAGAAUAUGUUGAAAAAUCAACAACAAUUUUCCUAUCUGCAAAUAGUAUUGGAGUGCCACUGGGACGCUGUGUGGCAUUCAAAAAAAUUGUGUUCCAAAUGCUAAUUAUUCACCAGUUGGUGUUCCAGAUCGUGUCUCUUGACAUCAAAAAUUUCCAACCAGCACUGGGACCCUUAGCGGGGGAGACUGGAAACGGGUCUGAAUAAUGCAUUCAAGAUAAUUUCAAAAAAUCACCCUUUAACGAGUACCAUAUUCCCUCCAAUUUUCCCUUGUAUAUGAUUCACCAUUUUGCAAAUACUGAUGUAUAAAGAAUGCAUUGAAUGUGGCAAAAGUUGAAGAUAGCCCCUGUGGAUAAGACCUAAUGGACACCAUCCUGAAAUAAUACAUACAGCUCAGCCUCCAGACAUGUGUCUUCAAUUUAAAAUAAUUCAGCAAUCAUGUUCAACCAGAACCUGAUUACACAAAAUGGGACUUUUUAACUCCCAGACUUGGAUCAAAUUUUGAGGCCACAAAAAGGGAGGGGGGGGUGGAGAUAAUAUGUGCCAUGUUUAUAUAUUCCAGAUACUAUGAUUAAAUGAUCCACACUCAGAUUUAACUGUUUCUUUGAGCUUAUCAAGGUAUCUCUAACCAUUUCCUACCUAUAGAUACGUGCCAAGCCUUUAUGAGAACUUGUAUCGAAGUCCUGAGCCAAGAUGCAAAAGGAAGAAAGCUGAAAAUCAGUUGGGUUCUUCUGUCUGAAUAUUAUGGUUUCCAAAGCACUGAACUGGGUCAUGUUCUCUACUUCCCUGGAGACUCAGGAAGGAAGAGUUGAGUCUUCUGGUAUGAUACCAGGGUAUCCCGGUUCAUUGUGUCUGCUGUGCUCACCGAAUGAUGCUCUUCCCCUCCUUUGAUCCUUGCCCACCACCUCUCUUCUCCUUUAUUACUAUGGCUGGCUUCUUUGUCACAGGCAAGUUGGAUCUGUGCUCAUAUGGGAUUUCUGAGAUGCUAGGAAGUCCCCACAUCUUUCUCCUUUGAUAAACUGCCCAAUGCUUGAGGUGCUACCAUUACAGGUACUUAACUACUUCAAAUCCCUUUACUCAGAAGAAAUGGUGGCUAUAAAGGUGCAUGGUGAAUCCCAAGCAAUGGUGUCUGGUGAUAAGAUUGCCAGAUAAAAUACAAAUGCUCAAGUCAAUUCAGAUUUCAGAUAAGCAACAAAUAAUUUUUUGUAUGCGUGAGUCCCAAAAUUGCAUAAGGCAUACACAUCCUAACAAGGUAUUUGUUGUUUAAUUGAAACUUGAAGUUAAGAAAAAUAAAAAAUAAAAAAAAAAGAAACUUGAAGUUAGCCAGGUCUUGUAUACUUUCACUCGCUAACUCUGGCAAUCUGAUGUAUCUAGUGACCACCACUCUGUGGUAUGUGGGUAAGGGAGCCUGUGGCUGGAAAGGGUGGGAAAAUGAGACUGUAACGUGAGCAUCUCCACAUCACUGGUGAAGGGCUAUGAGCCAGUUCAUUUCCCCAGAAUUAUUAAAGGAUCAGAUGGUGUACAAAUCAGGCAGCCUAAACCUGAGCAUAUUAGAAAUAAAGGGUUUUGUGUGUCUUGUUUUUCAAUAAGAUGAACAUAUUUAGAAUGGGUGAUCUCCUUUUUAAACAGGUAAUAUCAAUAAAUCUGAACCUUUUGUUGA